CGGGGUGUAGCGCAGCCCGGUUAGCGCGCCAGCUUCGGGAGUUGGAAGUCCCGGGUUCGAAUCCCGGUACCCCGACCA
rnacentral:tRNA from 1 species